rnacentral:rRNA from 1 species
UGGGGAAUAUUGCACAAUGGGCGCAAGCCUGAUGCAGCCAUGCCGCGUGUGUGAAGAAGGCCUUCGGGUUGUAAAGCACUUUCAGCGAGGAGGAAGGUGGUGAGCUUAAUACGCUCAUCAAUUGACGUUACUCGCAGAAGAAGCACCGGCUAACUCCGUGCCAGCAGCCGCGGUAAUACGGAGGGUGCAAGCGUUAAUCGGAAUUACUGGGCGUAAAGCGCACGCAGGCGGUUUGUUAAGUCAGAUGUGAAAUCCCCGGGCUCAACCUGGGAACUGCAUUUGAAACUGGCAAGCUAGAGUCUCGUAGAGGGGGGUAGAAUUCCAGGUGUAGCGGUGAAAUGCGUAGAGAUCUGGAGAAUACCGGUGGCGAACGGCGGCCCCCUGGACGAAGACUGACGCUCAGGUGCGAAAA